rnacentral:rRNA from 1 species
AACGAACGCUGGCGGCAUGCCUAACACAUGCAAGUCGAACGAGACCUUCGGGUCUAGUGGCGCACGGGUGCGUAACGCGUGGGAAUCUGCCCUUGGGUUCGGAAUAACAGCGAGAAAUUGCUGCUAAUACCGGAUGAUGACGUAAGUCCAAAGAUUUAUCGCCCAAGGAUGAGCCCGCGUAGGAUUAGCUAGUUGGUGAGGUAAAGGCUCACCAAGGCGACGAUCCUUAGCUGGUCUGAGAGGAUGAUCAGCCACACUGGGACUGAGACACGGCCCAGACUCCUACGGGAGGCAGCAGUGGGGAAUAUUGGACAAUGGGCGCAAGCCUGAUCCAGCAAUGCCGCGUGAGUGAUGAAGGCCUUAGGGUUGUAAAGCUCUUUCACCGGGGGAAGAUAAUGACGGUACCCGGAGAAGAAGCCCCGGCUAACUCCGUGCCAGCAGCCGCGGUAAU